rnacentral:rRNA from 1 species
UACGUAGGAGGCGAGCGUUGUCCGGAAUUACUGGGCGUAAAGCGUGUGUAGGCGGCUACAUAAGUCGGAUGUGAAAGCCCCGGGCUCAACCCGGGAAGUGCACUCGAUACUGCGUAGCUUGAGUCUCGGAGAGGUUGGUGGAAUUCUCGGUGUAGAGGUGAAAUUCGUAGAUAUCGAGAGGAACACCGGUGGCGAAGGCGGCCAACUGGACGAAGACUGACGCUGAGACACGAAAGCGUGGGGAGCAAACAGG